rnacentral:lncRNA from 1 species
UACGUGUCGUCCACUAAGACGCCCACGGCGACUCUCGAUUUCGAAGGCACUGUGAUCGGAAUCAAACCGGCUCCAGUUGUGGCUUCGUUCUCCGGUCGUGGGCCGAAUGGGUUGAACCCGGAGAUUCUCAAGCCGGACCUGAUUGCCCCUGGAGUUAACAUUUUAGCUGCCUGGACAGACGCGGUGGGGCCCACUGGCCUGGAAACGGACAGUAGAAAAACGGAGUUCAAUAUAUUGUCUGGGACUUCCAUGGCGGCCCCACACGUGAGCGGAGCCGCGGCUUUGCUCAAGUCGGCACACCCGGAUUGGAGCCCAGCCGCCAUAAGAUCGGCUAUGAUGACCACAGCGAGCGUGACAGAUAAUCGAAACCAAACCAUGACUGAUGAGGCCACUGGAAAGGCCUCCACGGCUUAUGAUUUGGGUGCGGGUCAUUUGAAUCUGGGUCGGGCC